UAAAAAUAAAGAGGUUUGACCGGAAUCUCGCCAAGCCUCUAUCUCUCUUUUCUCUUGCCCUGCUGCCAUCCCAGAUCCCCUCUCCCAGGUGAGACCCCUGGAUUGAUCAGCGGGCCAGAUCAAGUGGCAACCACAAAGGGACCCCACCUGGCAUGAGGGAUAACGAUGCAGGACCAUUCACAGGAGUAAAGUGCUGGCCAGCAUGACUGAUACAAGGAUUUCGUUCCUGUGAUCCGUGUGGAUGGCCACCUUCUGUCUCACCUGAAUCAUGAUGGUGCAACUUGACAAAACCUUAUGGACCAUCGUUGGGCUUUUGACACAACUACAUCUAAUGGACAGCAAACCCCAUCAACCCUGGAAAUGGGAGCUUAGCCUCUGGAAUGAUGAAGAGAAGGUUUCCACUUGGGUAGGAUCAGAAAGCCCAUGGUUUGCGCCCACACCCUGUUGGUUCUUUCCAGGGCUCCAAUGUCCCAAACAAAGUCAUUUUUACCUUUUUCCCACAGCAACAGGGGGCAGAUCAUAUUGUAAAUCCCCGGGAGAAUAUUUUUGUGCUUAUUGGGGCUGUGAAACAGUUGCAACAGGGUGGCAACCGCCUUCCCCGAUAAACACCUUAAACUGACAUGGGGGCUGCUGGGGUGCAGCCUAGAUGACUACCCACUGGCCAAUCAAAGACCCUGUCAGGUUCUAAACAUCACUGUCACCACUCAUGAAGACCCUGGCUGGCUGGCAGGACGCACCUGGGGACUUCGAGUUUAUGAGUCAGGCAAAGACAGGGGAAGUCUUAUUCUCAUAAAAAAAAGGUUCCCCUACAGACUUCAUUCAUGCCCAUAGGCCCAAAUCUUGCUCUAAAGCCAAAAUAUAAUCUAAAUCCAAAAUAUAAUCAGCCCACUGCAGAUCCUGUUACUACUGUUCAAAUAAUCACAGUAAGUCCCUCAACCAUAACAGUUUCUCAAGCUCCGCUACACCAGACAGAUCAUGUACCUGCCCCUCAAUAUUCACAUUCUAACCUAUUCAGUUUGAUUGAAGGAGCAUACAUGACUUUGAAUCAUAUCCAACCUGAUCUCACCCAAUCCUGUUGGUUAUGCUUGGCUGCUCCUCCCCCAUAUUAUGAAGGAAAGGCCCUCAAUUUAACCUUUAUCAGUUCUUCUAGCUCAUCUGCCUGUGACUGGGGCAAUCACCACAAGCUGACUCUCACUGAUGUCUCAGGUAGAGGGACUUGUCGUGGGGACUCCAGCCAUCCACCAGCACUGGCAGCACAACUCUGUGCCCAGCUUCAUUCAAAAUUCAAGCCAAAUAAUUACCUCAUUCCACCCCCAGGAACAUUCUGGGCCUGCAAUUUUGGCCUCUCACCCUGUAUAGCAACUACUGUUUUUAACAAGUUUGCAGAUUUUUGUGUUCUUCUACAGGUUCUUCCUCGCAUAACCUUCCACCCAGGAGACUACUACCUCCAGGCAUCGCAGAUCAGCUAUAUAUUUAAGAGAGAACCCGUGACACUCACCUUAGCUGUGUUACUAGGAUUAGGAGUAGCAACGGGAAUAGGGACAGGGACCAUGGCUCUAGUGUUGGGAAAUAAGCAUCUAGCCCAAUUACAGGCAGCAGUGGAUCAGGAUUUAAAAAAAAAAUAGAAGCAUCUGUGAUGGUUCUACAGGCAUCCUUGAUGUCUCUAUCUGAGGUAGUCCUACAAAAUAGAAGAGGACUAGACCUCCUAUUUAUGAAGGAAGGUGGCUUAUGUGCUGCCCUCAAGGAAGAGUAUUGUUUUUACGCUGACCAGUCGGGAGUAGUCAAACAGUCCAUGAGUAAACUGAGAGAGCGCCUCAGAGAGAGAGAAAAGGAGUGCCUCGGAACAACUACCUUCUCCUCCAUGUGGGGGGGGUCUCUUCCCUUACAUUGCCCCCCUCUUGGGACCCAUAGCCACCUUGCUGUUACUGCUUACUGUAGGACCUUGUAUUUUUCAGAGGAUCAUGAAGCUCAUUAAUAAUGUUAAUAUCAAGAUUGACACAUUUAUGGCAAAGCCCAUUCAGGUAUAUUACCAUCAGUUGGAAAUGGCAGAACAACAAACUUAUCGGGAAAGAACACCCACCAACGGCCCACAUGAUACUGUGGCGCAAAUGCCCUGAGGCACUGGACAGGCAUCCAGAGACGGGCAACUAGGACACAUAUGUAAUGCCAAUUGGCCACCUAAGACAGGUCCAGGACCAACAGCUGUCCUGCAGCCCCAUGACGGGUAAGGCUCGAUUGGGUUCAUAUGAGGUAUCCCUGACCCAAGACAGGCGCUGUCCUCCCUGGGCCUGCCAUGUUCCUAAAACACAUAAAUAAUAAUAAGGGAGGAGAUGUAGGGAGCAGCUUAGAAUGGCUGCUGCUGCCCUGCCCCUCCCCCCUGAGGGCAUUUUGUGUGUCAGCCUACAUUUCCCAUGAUUCUCCCCUUGCCUACAAUGCGCAUGACGUAAGCAAACUUCCUGCUUCAGCCUACAUAUCCCAUGAUCCUCAUGCCUGCCUACAUUACCCAUAAUCCUCUCCAGCUUACAUCAUAUAACCGGAUGUGAGGAUGACCUACCAGAUAAGACUUCAUGCCUUCUUCCUGCCUUUGGCCUGCCUCCACCCUUUAUAAGCUGCAGCCAUUUUUAAAAAUAAAGAGGUUUGACCAGAAUCUCUCCAAGCCUCUAUCUCUCUUUUCUCUUGCCCUGCCCACAUCCCCGAUCCCCUUUCCAGGUGAGACCCAUGGAUUGAUCCGCGAGCCGGAUCACCAAUGCAAAAGUGGGCAUCUGAGAUGAAUACACAGUUCUCAGAUGAAGAAACACAAAUGGCAAAUAAAUACUUUAAAAAAGGUUCAUCAUCGUUAGUCAUUAGAGAAAUGCAAAUUGAAACAACACUGAGAUUUCAUCUCACUGCAGAAAAAAUGGCCAGGAUCAAGAAAACUACCAACAAUAAAUGCUGGAGAGACUGUGGGGAAAAGGAAAUCUCCUGCAUUGUUGGUCGGAGUGUAAACUGUUGCAACCACUGUGGAGGUCAGUCUGGAGAUUUCUCAAAAAGCUGAGAUUGGAAGUCCCAUUUGAUCCAGCCAUUUCAGUUCUAGGCAUAUUCCCAGAGAACUGAAAGCAUCAUACCACAGUGAUAUAUGUGUACCCAUAUUUAUAGCAGCACAAUUUGUAAUAGCGAGAUCUUGGAAACAACCUAAGGGUCCAUCAACUGAGGAAUCCAUAAAAAAGUUGUGCUAUUUUUAUACAAUGGAGUACUGCUCAACUAUAAAGAAUGAUCACAUUGAGAUAUUUACUAUUAAACAGGUGCAACUUGAGACCAUAGUCAUAAGCAAAAUAAAUCAAUCUCAUAUGUUCAAAUACUGUAUAGUCUCCCUAGUGUAAGAAAUAAUAAGGAUACAUAAGAUUUUAUGUUAAUCAUGAUUCCCCAUUAUAUUGUUUUGAAAACUUAUAAUGAUGGCAUUCAUUAGUUGUAAUGGGUUUGUUCUUGUUUGUUUGAUUUUAUUACCUGUGAUAGUAUGAACAGCUAAUUUGAGGGAAACAAGUCAUUGUAAUAUCCAGUACUUGUAUAAUAUCAUCUUACUCUGAAGUCCUGCCAUGCUUUUGCUCUUCUGUUUCCAUUGGCUCUAUCAUAUUGUACCUUAUUUGAUUGUAUUACAUGUGAAUGUAUAAAUGAAGUUUCUAUGGAAAAUGAGAUAAUAUAGUAGCCACUGCUUCUUUUUUGUUAUUUGUUUCAGAAUGCCCUGUAAUACUCUCGUUCUCUUGUAUGUUUUUACACUAUUUUUUGUGUUUGAUACUACUGUAUAUGAAGUUAUACUCAACUAUUUCAAAGAAAGAGACAUUGUGGUAGUUACUGUUAAUUAUGGGUUGUCUUCUACUAAAAUUUGUGUUGCUUACAUUGUUCGAAGCUGCUUUGUUAUAUACUGUUUUGUCUUAAUCUCUUUAAAAAAAUAAAAUGAACCAGUCACAUAGUAAA